rnacentral:rRNA from 1 species
UACGUAGGUGGCAAGCGUUGUCCGGAUUUACUGGGCGUAAAGCGUGCGCAGGCGGUUGUGCAAGACAGAUGUGAAAUCCCCGGGCUUAACCUGGGAAUGGCAUUUGUGACUGCACGGCUAGAGUGUGUCAGAGGGGGUAGAAUUCCACGUGUAGCAGUGAAAUGCGUAGAUAUGUGGAGGAAUACCGAUGGCGAAGGCAGCCCCCUGGGAUAACACUGACGCUCAUGCACGAAAGCGUGGGGAGCAAACAGG